rnacentral:rRNA from 1 species
UGCAUCGAUGAAGAACGCAGCGAAAUGCGAUAAGUAGUGUGAAUUGCAGAAUUCCGUGAAUCAUUGAAUCUUUGAACGCACAUUGCGCCUCCUGGCAUUCCGGGAGGCGUGCCUGUCCGAGCGCCAUUGCAAUCUACUCAAGCUCCGUGUGCCAGCUUGGUCGUGGCGGAAGAGUCGUCGGACUCCCCUCCGAAAUGCAAUGGGCGGAAGAUUGCCGGUGUGGGGCGUAGUAACAACGUUCGCUUCCCAUCCGGUGCGCUUCCCGCCGUCAAACCCCUCUCCCGUGACUCCAUCGAUUGACCUCGGAUCAGGUAGGGAUACCCGCUGAACUUAAGCAUAUCAAUAAGCGGAGGAA